rnacentral:sRNA from 1 species
UGCUUGAGCCCGCAACUUCCAUCUUCUGCAACAUAGCCGUACUCCAUUUCCACUUCUGCAUAUCAUAUCUGCCAGUCGCCUGCCUACAACCUUCCGCUGCUCAUUCACCUCCAACCAUUACGACUGCCUGCUCAACUGGUUUUGCUGCUUCAAGGCAACAUGCCUCCUCCACCUCCUCCUCCCCCGCCACCCCCUCCUGCGGCUGGCGGUCCACCAAAAUCCACGAACUUACCAAGCAGGUCUCCCAAAGCAGCUGCACAAGGCCGGGGAGCUCUUCUCUCAGACAUCUCGAAAGGUACCCAUCUCAAGAAAACCGUAACAAAUGAUAGAUCGGCCCCUGUAAUCGGAAAGUCCUCCGGAACAUCGGGAGGUCUUUCAGUUGGCGGAGCCCCGCCGGUGCCUAGCAUGCCCAAGCCCCCUAACGGAUUAGCCCCGCCUGUCCCUGGUGGAAAUCGAUUGCGGAGUAAUAGCGACCAGGGCCGUGGAGGAGCUGACUCGGGCGCGACUCCUGGUGCUAUUGCUCAUGAAAGCGGGACGAUCCCUUCUGCUCCGCAAUUAGGUGGAUUAUUCGCUGGCGGCAUGCCUAAGCUUAAGAAGCGUGGUGGAAUAGACACGGGCGCGAGCGCGGAUGCUUCAUACCUUUCAGACUCUGAAAGCUCUCGAAAACCUGGCCCGUGGACUCCCACUGGCAGUGCUCCACCACCACCACUACCAAGUGGUCGUCCGCCACCUCCAACACCAGGUGGCCCUCCACAGGUCCAAGAGAACCCCCUAGUUGCAAAUUUACGAAAGAUCCCCCCCCGCACGUCAGGAAGGCCUUCAUCCUCAAUCUCAUAUAUCUCCACUAAAUCAGCUCCAGAGACUCCUUCACGACCACCUCCACUUCCUGGAGUAAAGCCUCCUGCCCCCCAAACAUCCACUCGAAAGGUCUCUGCUCCGCCUCCUCCAACAGCUCCACCUCCACCACCUUCAUCCGCAUCACCUCCUCCCCCGCCGUCUGCUCCUCCACCUCCUCCAGCAGUUGCCGCACCCCGCCCACCUCCAUCACGAUCGAAUCCCCCACCCCCGCCUCCAGCAGCAUCACCUAGCGCCAAUGGGCCCCACGCAGCAGCCUCAGCGGCAUCGAUAGCGAUGCAGGCCGCUAGAAAUGCUUUCUCCCAAGCAACUCAUCCGCAACCCCCCAACCAUCGUCCGCUCCAUCCCACCCCCCGGCUCCUCCUCCACCUCCCCCGCAAUCAUCUCCUCCCUCAUCCGCGCGAACAUCAUCCUUACUAUCAACUCCACUCACCUCGCGUCCCUCAUCAUUUGCAGACCAGCAGAAUCAACAUCAAGUACCUCAGCAGCAGCAACAGCCUAACCGGUCACUACUCGACCCAAGUAACUAUACCCUCACAAACGGCGGUUCCUCGCCCCGUCCCAGCUCUCGAGGCAGCAACAGGCGAGGCAGCUCACAGGGAAUCCGGAUUGAGGACCCAAGAUUCAAAUUCCAGAAUGAGUCGUUAUUUCCGAAACCCAGGGAGUUCCGUGGUGGCCAGAAGUUGUACAGGGCUGGGAGGGGGAGUAGUGUUCCGUUGGAUCUUUCGGCGUUGGGUUGAGGGGUACUGCUUCCGCUCAUUUACAUACAACACAAUAAUACUUGCUUGAGUUAGUUUCUCAAAUCAUGCAGGUUGAAAAUUGAUGUUAAUGUCUCCUGUUUCUUCACUUUCCACUCCUAGCUGCCCCUCUUCGCUUUUUACCAUUUUUAUCGCGUGUAUGAUGGGAUUGAUACGGGUUACCGAACGGUUGAAAAAUGACCCUGGCCUUCUUUGGGAUUUGGAUGGGAGCUAUAAAGAUCUAGAAGUGGAAUCUAUGUUUUAUGGUAGCCAACAACCCCAUUUCAUUAGACUCUUGUAGUCUUGUCUCUUGGAUUAACAGAAAAGCGAAGGGAAGCGGAGUUUGAUCAUACUUUUCUUCUCUUUCUCCUACCUUGCGCAUGCGUUCUUAGGAUGCAUUUGGUUCUUUGCGGGCUUUUCGUAUUAGUCUUCUUGGGGUGUUAAGCUAUUUAUGGCCCCUUCUAAAAGGACAGUUUUCUCUGAAUGUACAGUAUACUAUUGAGUAUCUGUCAUAUUUUAUGCAUACAUUACUUUUUUUUUACUCUCUUAGGUGAAAUUAACUACGGGCUAUCUCGAUUGAAUAAAGGUAAAUUAUAUUUAACAGAGA